AUACGUAGGGGGCGAGCGUUGUCCGGAAUUACUGGGCGUAAAGGGUGCGCAGGCGGCCGAUUAAGUUGGAUGUGAAAUACCCGGGCUUAACUUGGGUUGUGCAUUCAAAACUGGUUGGCUAGAGUGCAGGAGAGGGAAGCGGAAUUCCUAGUGUAGCGGUGAAAUGCGUAGAUAUUAGGAGGAACACCAGUGGCGAAGGCGGCUUUCUGGACUGUAACUGACGCUGAGGCACGAAAGCGUGGGGAGCAAACAGGAUUAGAUACCCUGGUAGUCCACGCUGUAAACGAUGAAUACUAGGUGUAGGGGGUAUGAACUCCCCCUGUGCCGGAGCAAACGCAAUAAGUAUUCCGCCUGGGGAGUACGGCCGCAAGGUUGAA
rnacentral:rRNA from 1 species